rnacentral:rRNA from 1 species
CCUACGGGAGGCAGCAGUGAGGAAUAUUGGUCAAUGGGCGGAAGCCUGAACCAGCCAAGUAGCGUGCGGGAUGAAGGCCCUACGGGUCGUAAACCGCUUUUGCACGGGGAUAACACCCUCCACUUGUGGAUGUCUGCAGGUACCGUGCGAAUAAGGGCCGGCUAACUCCGUGCCAGCAGCCGCGGUAAUACGGAAGGCCCGAGCGUUAUCCGGUUUCAUUGGGCUUAAAGGGAGCGUAGGCGGGCGUUCAAGUCAGCGGUAAAAUCGCGCGGCUCAACCGCGCCCCGCAGUUGAAACUGGACGCCUUGAGUGCACAACAGGCAGGCGGAAUUCGUGGUGUAGCGGUGAAAUGCAUAGAUAUCA